rnacentral:rRNA from 1 species
UGGGGAAUAUUGCACAAUGGGCGCAAGCCUGAUGCAGCCAUGCCGCGUGUAUGAAGAAGGCCUUCGGGUUGUAAAGUACUUUCAGCGGGGAGGAAGGUGUUGAGGUUAAUAACCUCAGCAAUUGACGUUACCCGCAGAAGAAGCACCGGCUAACUCCGUGCCAGCAGCCGCGGAAAUACGGAGGGUGCAAGCGUUAAUCGGACUUACUGGGCGUAAAGCGCACGCAGGCGGUCUGUCAAGUCGGAUGUGAAAUCCCCGGGCUCAACCUGGGAACUGCAUCCGAAACUGGCAGGCUUGAGUCUUGUAGAGGGGGGUAGAAUUCCAGGUGUAGCGGUGAAAUGCGUAGAGAUCUGGAGGAAUACCGGUGGCGAAGGCGGCCCCCUGGACAAAGACUGACGCUCAGGUGCGAAAGCGUGGGGAGCAAACA